GGCUGGUCGGAAGGGUGAGCCCAGGAACAAGGCCGUGCGGCCCAACACUAUGGCAGGGGAUCCCAAGGAGGUGUUGUGCCAACCUGAUGACUGGCCUGACAGCGAGCAACCGGGGCCAUCUGUUCAAGCCACACCUGCGGUUCCGGCAGUGCUGCCUGUGCCUGCGGUUUCAACUGAAGGUCAGGCGAUGGCCCACCCCACUGCAUCAGUAGCUUCAUUGGCGCAUAGUUGGAGGGUCCUGAUUUGCGGCCACAGCUUUGUCCACUGGGCUGAACACCAGGCACAACGCACUCCCUAUGGCCAACACUUAGGCCUUGCUUCUGCUGCCAUGAUUCAAUGGAGAUGCAAAAGAGGCUUACGAUGGGACGGCUUAAUUCCCCUGUUGUUCAGUCCAGUGAGUGGGCCUCCUCCCGAGGUCCUGGUCAUUCACCUUGGGGGGAAUGAUUUAGGCCUUCUUCAGGGCAGGGCCUUAUAUUUUCAGACUAGAGCCGAUUUUAUGAGGAUAUGGGACGCAUGGUCCCAUACGCAUACUAUUUGGUCAGAGAUAAUCCCACGUCUAAAAUGGUCCGGUGGGGGAGACGUGCGGAAGCUGGAGAGGGCAAGGAAAAGAGUCAACAGGGCUAUUCGUUCAUCAUUGACCCGCGGAGGCGGGUCAAUUAUUUCUCACAAGCUCACGAUAAGGAGCACUUUUACCGGGCAGAUGGUAUCCAUCUGUCGGUUGAGGGUAACCUUCAGUUCCUGUUUGAUUUGCAGGUAGGAAUUAGAGAGGUGUUAGAGAAUUUGGUUGAGGUUGGAGACUAGAUAGACAUCUGCCCCCAACGGUGGCGGAAAAUGGAUAUGGGAAAAUUACAAUCUAGGGUAUAUCUAGGGCACCAUCCCCUUUGGGGUGAAGGACAUCAGAAAACACUCAUCUACUAUUCAUCUUUAACAGGUGAGGUGAAGUUUAAGGCCCUUGGAAUGCCAGAAGUUUGGCCUCAACAACGUUGAGGGAGGCUUCUCUGACACGCUUCCCUUAAAGGUUACUCGGUUGUUGGCCAACCGGGAAUCAAGUUUUUUCGCCAUUGUCAGCACAAGGGCAGGCCAGAUAAGGACUCUACCUUGGGUGGAAAUUUUCCUACCAAAUUUUCUAUCAGAAUAGAGUUUUAGUUCCAAAGUUACAUAGGUAACAGUUAAUAAAGUUGCCCAUAUUUAAACCCAAUUUUAUUUGUGUCGUAUUUUGAGAGUUGGCAGGCAAACGGAUCACGGAGAUACUUAUGGCACGUCUGAGGAAGACACGUUUGAAGGGUUUUCAAGUGAUGAGGAAUCAAUGAUUCAGGGAGGAGACGGGAUGGAUGUGAUCAGAGGAACUAAGAGGGUUACUCUGGAGCAGGAAUCAGAUGAGGAAUGGGAGAGGAAGAAGCUCCUGAAUAUACUUACUGCUCCCACAGAGGAGGAGUCAUUUUUGGGUUUCUCUGGGGAUGAUGGGUCUGAGAGUGAUGAAAAUGGGGAGGGCACAUUGGACUGGACUAGGGUACAAGAAAUAAGGGAUAUGGGCACAGAGCCAAUUCCUAGUGAUGCAUUUGUUGCGUCUUUGGGACAGGAGGAUUGGCAAACAGCUGAUACACCAGGGCCAUGGGGAAACCUAAGUCUUGAUAGAAGAUGGAGGAGCUGGAGGGAUGAGAACCAGGAUUCACGUGUGAUGACAGGAACAGCUGUGGGAGAUGACGAUGGGGUGGAAGCCAGUUCAUCUUCAGAUAAUGAUGUGUAAGUUUAAAAGUAGGGCCUGAAAUGGGGAUCCUUUGCAGAAGGCAAAGUGUCGUUUUGGCGUAGAUUUGUCUCUGCCUGUUUUUCCUGUUGGGCUUUGGGUCCUGGCUCUACAGCUUGGCGUUCCUGGUUCCUGUGAUUCUUUGAUUUGGACUGGACUAUUGUGAAUGUGCUUUUCUCCCUUCCUGGACCUUUGGACUGGCGACUUCGGCUCUGUUUGAUGACCUCCGGUAACGACGCUUGGAUUGGCUUAUCGCGGUUGCAGCUUUUUCCUUUCCUGGCUUCGGUUUGACUUCACUUCGGCUCUGGUUACCUUCUUUGGAAAACUACCUUUGGAUUGGCUAUCGUGAGUGCGGCUUUCCCCUGCUCCUGGAUCCUGGUUUGACUCGACUGCAGCUUGUGUAAACACCUUGAGGACGUCAUUAGUUUGUUUCCUCUGUUCUGCUGCUUUUUUGAACUUUGACUAGUUUUGUUUACUUUCUGAGUACAGCGCUGCCUUCCAGGAAGUCUGUUUUAGCGCUGUUUGCUGCCAAUUCCAUUGACUGUAUUUUAAUCCAGAUUAUCUAUCCAUUUAAUCCAGAUUAUUUUCUGUUCUUCCUUUUGAGCCCAGUUUGGGCUAAUAUUUUGUGUUUUGGUCAGAGACACUGCAGUUAAGUGUCUCUGAGCCUGUUUUUGAGUUGCAAUAAAUCUUUUGUUAAAACUGA